rnacentral:rRNA from 1 species
AUUGAACGCUGGCGGCAGGCCUAACACAUGCAAGUCGAACGAGUGGCGGACGGGUGAGUAAUGUCUGGGAAACUGCCCGAUGGAGGGGGAUAACUACUGGAAACGGUAGCUAAUACCGCAUACCAUCGGAUGUGCCCAUAUGGGAUUAGCUAGUAGGUGGGGUAACGGCUCACCUAGGCGACGCCCCCUAGCUGGUCUGAGAGGGUGACCAGCCACACUGGAACGGAGACACUGUCCAGACUCCUACGGGAGGCAGCAGUGGGGAAUAUUGCACAAUGGGCGCAAGCCUGAUGCAGCCAUGCCGCGUGUAUGAAGAAGGCCUUCGGGUUGUAAAGUACUUUCAGCGAGGAGGCGUUACUCGCAGAAGAAGCACCUGCUAACUCCGUGCCAGCAGCCGCGGUAAUAC